UGGAGCUGGCGGUGAGGAAAGCGCAUCUGGCUUGCUGGGGGAGGCCUCACUCUCCUGCAGGACGCAGAGGUUGCAACAGCAAGCUCAGCUGCCUGAUUUGAGAGAUGAGCUAAGGUUCUUCCAGAUCGUGUGGUUACAAAAUAAAAAAGUAUUCAGUGGCUUCAGAAUAAACGGUAAUCAAAAAGAGGUGUGCAGUGAAACGGUCAUUCUAUUAUCAACUAUGGAGGUGGGGCCAUCCUAGAACAUUUAUUUUUAGAUCCUUUCCCUGGGUCCCUGCAGCUGGAACCCUGGCUGACAGCUGUGCACAGCCACAUCCCCUCCUGAGAAGUGCUUCAGCUGGACAAGUCCAUUCUCUACUGCUGCUGGCUGACCACAAGACACUUCUGUUUAAGAGGAGCAGGAACAGUUGUUGUAUUUUCUCUGCGCUUUUGCAUGUGGUCGGCUUUCUUAAACAGACACUGGCAUGGCCGUUGCCAAGCGCAGCUCCAUUCUCAAUGGUUGGCGGCUGACAGAGACAGGGUUGACAUGACGGCACUGUAC